rnacentral:rRNA from 1 species
GCAGCCCGUACCCUAAACCGACACAGGUAGUUGGGAUGAGAAUUCUAAGGAGCUCGAGAGAUUCAUGGCUAAGGAACUAGGCAAAAUAGACCUGUAACUUCGGGAGAAAGGUCGCCACCCUUUGGGGUGGCCGCAGUGAAAAGGUCCAGGCGACUGUUUAUCAAAAACACAGGGCUAUGCUAAAUUGAAAGAUGAUGUAUAUGGCCUGACACCUGCCCGGUGCUGGAAGGUUAAGUGGAGUUGUUAGUUUAGGCGAAGCAAUCAAAUGAAGCCCCAGUAAACGGCGGCCGUAACAAUAACGGUCCUAAGGUAGCGAAAUUCCUUGUCGGGUAAGUUCCGAC